rnacentral:rRNA from 1 species
AAAAUGUAAAUUUAAAAUCUAAGGUAGUAAUAGUUAUGUUCUUGAAACUUAAAAAAUUUGGCGGUAUUUUAGUCUAUUCAGAGGAACCUGUUUUUUAAUCGAUAAUCCACGAUGGACCUUACUUAAAUUUGUAAUCAGUUUAUAUACCGUUGUUAUUAAAAUAUUUUAUAAGAAUAUUAAUAUUUAUAAUUUUUAUUAAAAAAAGUAUAUCAAAUCAAGGUGUAGCUAAUGUUUAAGUAAAAAUGGGUUACAAUAAAAUUAUUUAUAUGAAUAUAAAUUUGAAAUAUUUAUUGAAGGUGGAUUUGAUAGUAAAAUUAUAAAGAUUAAUAAUUUGAUUUUAGCUCUAAAAUAUGUACAAAUCGCCCGUCACUCUCUGA